ACGGGUGAGUAACGCGUGGGAACGUGCCUUUCGGUUCGGAAUAACUCAGGGAAACUUGAGCUAAUACCGGAUACGCCCUUCGGGGGAAAGAUUUAUUGCCGAAAGAUCGGCCCGCGUCCGAUUAGCUAGUUGGUGAGGUAAUGGCUCACCAAGGCGACGAUCGGUAGCUGGUCUGAGAGGAUGAUCAGCCACACUGGGACUGAGACACGGCCCAGACUCCUACGGGAGGCAGCAGUGGGGAAUAUUGGACAAUGGGCGCAAGCCUGAUCCAGCCAUGCCGCGUGAGUGAUGAAGGCCCUAGGGUUGUAAAGCUCUUUCGCCAGGGACGAUAAUGACGGUACCUGGAUAAGAAGCCCCGGCUAACUUCGUGCCAGCAGCCGCGGUAAUACGAAGGGGGCUAGCGUUGUUCGGAAUCACUGGGCGUAAAGCGCACGUAGGCGGAUCUUUAAGUCAGGGGUGAAAUCCCGAGGCUCAACCUCGGAACUGCCUUUGAUACUGGAGGUCUAGAGUCCGGGAGAGGUGAGUGGAACUGCGAGU
rnacentral:rRNA from 1 species